rnacentral:rRNA from 1 species
GACGAACGCUGGCGGCGUGCCUAAUACAUGCAAGUAGAACGCUGAAGGAGGAGCUUGCUUCUCUGGAUGAGUUGCGAACGGGUGAGUAACGCGUAGGUAACCUGCCUUGUAGCGGGGGAUAACUAUUGGAAACGAUAGCUAAUACCGCAUAAUAGUAGAUGUUGCAUGACAUUUGCUUAAAAGGUGCAAUUGCAUCACUACCAGAUGGACCUGCGUUGUAUUAGCUAGUUGGUGGGGUAACGGCUCACCAAGGCGACGAUACAUAGCCGACCUGAGAGGGGGAUCGGCCACACUGGGACUGGGACACGGCCCAGACUCCUACGGGAGGCAGCAGUAGGGAAUCUUCGGCAAUGGACGGAAGUCUGACCGAGCAACGCCGCGUGAGUGAAGAAGGUUUUCGGAUCGUAAAGCUCUGUUGUAAGAGAAGAACGAGUGUGAGAGUGGAAAGUUCACACUGUGACGGUAUCUUACCAGAAAGGGACGGCUAACUACGUG